AUGCAGCGGGUAACUUUUGCAGUUGAUUUAAUAUUAAAGUUAUUUUAAGCUUUUGAAAUGAUUGUUCUUAUCAACUAUCUAAUUAAUGUUUGCCAAAUUUUACAUUCAGGUCAAUCUUUGUGUUCAUUUGGUCAGGCAUCGUAUCAAAGAAACAGAGAAGGUAAUGGGGUGAGUGUGUGGCAGAGUAAAAGCAUGAUCCUAUUUUUUGAGCUUGACUGUAUGGUCCUGAGCUUUGUUUUUGUGUAUAUUUAUGUAAUUUAGGCUGUUGGUUGCUAUUAAUUUUUUUUGUUUUUGUUUUUUUUACUCCAUAUGUAUAUCUGAUUAGGUUGAUGUGUGGUAUAUAGUGUUUUAUCACUUUGGUCAAA